UGAUAACCUGGUAGGUUCUUCUAGGUGAAUCAAAAUUGCAUAAAAAAUUUAAGAAAAUAAAGUUCAGAAAAGAAAAGAAAAAGAAAUAACACCAAGAAACACAACUAUGCCACAGUUCAUCAACUCCCAAAAACCGGUUGAUUCAUACCUCCUGGAACUGAAUAGUCUCCCCCGCCUCCAAGCUCCCAAGUUCGAUAUCGCGUAAGCGAGACUCUUCAUGAAUAACUUCAUUACCAAUCAGCCAUCCCAAAAAUCCUACAUAUAUAAUAAAAUAGAUGGCUGAAAAUACGAAGACAAAUCCGACACAUUCGGUCCCAAGCCAUAUUAUGUAAUCACGGCGGGUGUCGAACGAAAACGGAGGAGCAGCCAUAGAAUCCACAGGUGGGUUA
rnacentral:lncRNA from 1 species